CUACGGGUUGCACCAGUGGGGAAUAUUGCACAAUGGAGGAAACUCUGAUGCAGCAACGCCGCGUGGAGGAUGACACUUUUCGGAGCGUAAACUCCUUUUAUAUAGGAAGAAGAUGACGGUACUAUAUGAAUAAGCGCCGGCUAACUCCGUGCCAGCAGCCGCGGUAAUACGGCGGGCGCAAGCGUUACUCGGAAUCACUGGGCGUAAAGAGCGUGUAGGCGGAUUAAAAAGUCAGAAGUGAAAUCCUAUAGCUUAACUAUAGAACUGCUUCUGAAACUCUUAAUCUAGAAUAUGGGAGAGGUAGAUGGAAUUUCUGGUGUAGGGGUAAAAUCCGUAGAGAUCAGAAGGAAUACCGAUUGCGAAGGCGAUCUACUAGAACAUUAUUGACGCUGAGACGCGAAAGCGUGGGGAGCAAACAGGGUUAGAUACCCGGGUAGUC
rnacentral:rRNA from 1 species